rnacentral:rRNA from 1 species
CGGGGAAUAUUCCGCAAUGGACGAAAGUCUGACGGAGCAACGCCGCGUGAGUGAUGAAGGUUUUCGGACUGUAAAGCUCUGUUGUUUAGGACGAAAGUGCCUGCUGCGAACAGUUGCAGGUAUUGACGGUACUGAACGAGGAAGCCACGGCUAACUACGUGCCGGCAGCCGCGGUAAUACGUAGGUGGCAAGCGUUGUCCGGAAUUAUUGGGCGUAAAGAGCAUGUAGGCGGGAAUCUAAGUCUGUUGUGAAAAUGCGGGGCUCAACCCCGUAUGGCGAUGGAAACUGGAUUUCUUGAGUGCAGGAGAGGAAAGGGGAAUUCCCAGUGUAGCGGUGAAAUGCGUAGAUAUUGGAAGGAACACCAGUGGCGAAGGCGCCUUUCUGGACUGUGUCUGACGCUGAGAUGCGAAAGCCAGGGUAGCGAACGG